AUGUCCCACAUCCUCCAAACCAACAAAACAUUCCAAACGGCCUCCACAAAUGAACGUGUGAGUCCCCCAGAGGGACUUGGGGACCAACCUUUGCAGUAAAAAUCGGCCACACACAGGAUGGCACGUGGCAGGUCUGCGAUUUCACGCACUUCCGUGGAGCGAGGCCCCGGGCAGGGGGCAGAGCGGGCCUUGGCAGGGCAGGGGAGGGACGGGUCUGUGACGGCAAGCACGCGGCUGGCAGCUCUCCCCAGCUGAGAGGACAAAGAGAGUUGUCCCCCAGGAGAGGUCUGGAAGCUUCAAGGACAUGGAAGAUCAGGAAGAAGCGCACUGACAAAUGCCCAGGAGUUAUCAUCCUCACCCCCCAGAAGUGACCCGAGGCCAGCGAUGGACCAAUGCAAGAAAUGCACAAAAGCCCAACCCCUUCUGCAAGGAGGGACACGCCCGCAGGGCCACACACAUGCUAGAGCUCCAGUUCAGAAUUCUCUGGAUAUAAAGAGCAAGAACGAGCCAGGGCAUCCGACUUCUUGCCUCGCAGGUCAGCAGGAGCUGCUGUGGAGGAAAGGGCUCAGAGGCCACUCCAGAAACCUACUCCAGGUGCCACAGGCAGGCCACCUCACCUGAACCGGACUUGAUCUAAGGGCUGAAGCUAGGCUCAUGCGUAUGGUUUCCAGUUCUUGGCUUUUUGUCCCUGACUGCAUUUUUUCCCAUGUCACAAUCCCGUGUGUCCUGGGACAAAAGUGACUGGCCAGCGUGGGACCAGAAGAAGGCUGGGAGCUUCCCGGACUCUUGCCAGACUGUGGCCUGGGCUCCCACUUAAAGAAAAGAGGGUCCCCAGCACCAAAGAGAGGUCACCGUCCCCCAGAUGAAGCUCCAAGACACUAACCAGCAGGCACGGAUUUAUGGAAGCACAUAAUACAAAGGUUUCAGGACAGGAGGAGAAAAUACCAAAUAAUAGGGCUGAUUCUACCCAACGGGAUUAAAAUUCCUCCAAGAUUACUGCUUAAGUCUUUUUCCUCAAUAGGCCUAGGAUGUGUAUUUUUCUGAAAGUUCCCUUCUUUCUGACCAAAGAUAAUCCCAUUCUAGACCAUUAGCGUGUUUUUACUCAGGCAAGAUUACUCAUUAUGGCCCAUUCUCUCUCUCUUUCUCUUUUUUUAAGCUUUUAUUUAUUUGACAGAGAUCACAAGUUAGCAGAAAGGUAGGCAGAGCAGAGAGCCUGAUUAGGGGCUCGAUCCCAGGACCCUGUGAUCAUGAACUGAGCCUAAAGCAGAGGCUUAACCCACUGAGUCACCCCCAGUCGCCCUGGGCCAUUCUCUUUUAUUGAGAGCUUAUUCUGUGCCCCGUUCUUGACACACAUUCCCUCACUUCACUCUCAUACCCCAAGGCCCGGUUUUUACUCCUGUUUUAUUGUUGAGAAAACAAGAGAUUCACUGAGGUUUCAAGGGACAGAGUCACGUGGUCGCAAGGCCCCAGAACCCUGGUCUGGCCGACUCUAGGCUCACGUUCUUGGCGGCCAUAUUGGGACACCCACUGAGGACCGGAGAGUUCCAUGAAGGGAACGUUACCUUCUGUUCUGCAAGAUUCUGAGGCUGAGAGAUGCUCGGGAGGGUCACGCACCUGCCCACCCUGAGGGGCUGCAAACACCAGCUUCGUGGGGCUGCUUUCUGUUUCUUUAGAUUCUACUGCAUCCAACAAAGAACCUACGUUUUCCUAGUUGGGGACACAUCCCAGCUGGCAACUUGCUACAGUGGGAGAAAAAAAGAAAAAAAUCAAGGGGGAGAGGACUUGAGCUCAUUCGGAUCUUCACAAAAUUGUACGUUUUGGUAUCUUCCCCCCCAUUACUGAAACACCACAUGGCCCGUACAAGUUGGAAUAAGCCAAAAACGUAAAGAGAAGGAAAAAAAUGACUCGUAGGACUCUCAACCAAGGAUUUGUGGGCAAACUUCCUUCUCUCUCUGUAAAGGUUGGAAUUUAAAAAAAUUAUGGUCAGGAUCACAUUGUGUAAAUAUACUGAUUUAUUCGUGAGAAAAA